CUGUCUCCCGUAUGAAGGUCAGAUUGUCUUCCUUUAAAGACUCAGUCAGUCACCGUCUGUAAUUAUCCUGCACCUAAACAAAAAAACGCUUUCAGACUGAAAACAGACACAUUGUCUGAGGAGACAAACGCUGGUUCCAACCCACUGCCUGCUGUCUGCUCCUGUCUCCGGUCUGAGCCAAUAAGAGAGGAGAGCUACCUCGGUCUGAGCCAAUAAGAGGGAGAGCUACCUGGUGGAGAGCUACCCCUCCUUCUCCGCCCCACCCAGCCCGACUGGAACAGUGACCUGAGAUGUCAGUCUUGUUUGUCAUUAGGUUGAAAGGGGAUUCUGUAACCCUCUCCCUGUCCCUCCUUCCUGGCUUUGUAACCUCUUCCCACAGCCCAGAGAAAAAUCUGAAAGGACAAUUGAGGCAGCCAUUGUUGUCUAUCGAUUCACUGGUUGUGUGUUGUGUGUCAGUCCUGCGUGGCUGAAAAGGUGUUUGUUAGUCCUCCGCCCUAGCAGCCUGCGUUCGCUCCCCAACAUAACUCUUUCAACAACGUCUCUGAGGUGUUUGGUAGUCCUCCGCCCUAGCAGCCUGCGUUCGCUCCCCAACAUAACUCUUUCAACAACGUCUCUGAGGUGUUUGGUAGUCCUCCGCCCUAGCAGCCUGCGUUCGCUCCCCAACAUAACUCUUUCAACAACGUCUCUGAGGUGUUUGGUAGUCCUCCGCCCUAGCAGCCUGCGUUCGCUCCCCAACAUAACUCUUUCAACAACGUCUCGGAGGAAGAUCCAUCAGGAGAUGAACAUUUAUCUGCCAGAUAUUCAACGUUAAAUUCAUUGUUUCAACGUUUGUGUAACUGCACUAAGACACAGCUAUUCCAUUAUAGUCGAGUCCACUGCGUCAUCUUCUCUCUGAAUUUAUUGGUUUACUUUUCAAAUAUUUUGUUCAGAGGACACAAAACACCAUUGAAGCGAACUGCUCCAAAUCAGUUAGAUCGUCCAACGUAUCCCAGAGAGCAUCUGUAGAGCAGCUCAACCAACUGUCUUCUUCUGAUAACCAACUGUCACUCAGAGGAAGAAAAGAAUUAUAGUGGGUCUUUCAUUUCUUCAAAGUUGAGGCACU